GGACGACGCUGGCGGCGUGCUUAACACAUGCAAGUCGAACGGUGACCCAGGGCUUGCCCUGGUGAUCAGUGGCGAACGGGUGAGUAACACGUGGGCAACCUGCCCCUGACUUCGGGAUAACUCCUCGAAAGAGGAGCUAAUACCGGAUACGACCACUUCGGACAUCCGAUGGUGGUGGAAAGUUUUUCGGUCAGGGAUGGGCCCGCGGCCUAUCAGCUAGUUGGUGGGGUAAUGGCCUACCAAGGCGACGACGGGUAGCCGGCCUGAGAGGGCGACCGGCCACACUGGGACUGAGACACGGCCCAGACUCCUACGGGAGGCAGCAGUGGGGAAUAUUGCGCAAUGGGCGAAAGCCUGACGCAGCGACGCCGCGUGAGGGAUGAAGGCCUUCGGGUUGUAAACCUCUUUCAGCAGGGACGAAGCGAAAGUGACGGUACCUGCAGAAGAAGCACCGGCUAACUACGUG
rnacentral:rRNA from 1 species